rnacentral:rRNA from 1 species
UUUUUUUUAUAUUAUCUAAUUAACAAAGUGGCGGCACCGGCAGCUGACCCUCCGGAUGUGCCCAAAUGGGGUUAGCUACUAUGUGAGUAAAUGACUCACCUAGGAAAAUCUCUCUAGCUUCCCUGAGAAAAGACCAGCCACACGAAAUCUGAGACACUGCCCACACCUCUACAAAACAAGCUAUGGAGAAUCUUGCACUAUGCGCGAAACUCUAACGCAGACACGCCGUGUGAAAGAAGAAUGUCUUAAGAGUAUAAUUUUCUCUCAGCGGGGACGAUAAUGACGGUACGCAGAGAAGAAGCCCCGUCUCUCUUUGUGACAGCAGGCGCGGUAAUACGAAAGAGGCUCGUUUUUCUCGGAAUUACUGGGUGUAAAGGGAGCGUAGGCGGACAUUUAAGUCAGGGGUGAAAUCCCGGGGCUCAAUCUCGGAAUUGUCUUUGAUACUGGGUGUCUUGAGUAUGAGAGAUGUGUGUAGAUCUCCGAGUGUAGAGGUGAAAUUCGUAGAUAUUCGGAAGAACACCAGUCGCGAAGGAGACACACUGGCUCAUUACUGACGCUGAGGCUCGAAAGCGUGGGGAGCAAACAGG